GUCGUCUCUCUCUCAGAGUCAGUCUGAGCUUGUGAUGGUCCAACGUGUGAAGCGGCUUUCUCAACUCUAUACACGCGCGUGCAUCCAGCAGAAAUCCAGCAGAACGACCUCUGGAUAACGGACGCUUUCAGCCAUGUUCUCCAUCAUCCAGCCCUGAAUGAGAUGAACUCUCAUCUAUUGCACUUUCUGAAGAAGGCUGAUCACAGAUACAGACAGGUAUGAGGAGAAACAUCUGCUGUUCCAGUCACCUCUGAACAGAACACAUCAGUGGUUAACGUUGAAUCAGCUCUGUCAAAAUCUGCAGUCCCAUUAGUU